rnacentral:rRNA from 1 species
UACGUAGGGUGCAAGCGUUGUCCGGAAUUAUUGGGCGUAAAGAGCUCGUAGGCGGUCUGUCGCGUCGGCUGUGAAAACCCGGGGCUCAACCCCGGGCCUGCAGUCGAUACGGGCAGACUAGAGUCCGGUAGGGGAGUGUGGAAUUCCCGGUGUAGCGGUGAAAUGCGCAGAUAUCGGGAGGAACACCAGUAGCGAAGGCGGCACUCUGGGCCGGUACUGACGCUGAGGAGCGAAAGCGUGGGGAGCAAACAGG